rnacentral:rRNA from 1 species
GAUGAACGCUAGCGGCAGGCUUAACACAUGCAAGUCGAGGGGUAUAGUUCUUCGGAAUUAGAGACCGGCGCACGGGUACGUAACGCGUAUGCAAUCUACCUUUCACAGAGGGAUAGCCCAGAGAAAUUUGGAUUAAUACCUCAUAGUAUAGCAGUUUCGCAUGAAACCACUAUUAAAGUCACAACGGUGAAAGAUGAGCAUGCGUCCCAUUAGCUAGUUGGUAAGGUAACGGCUUACCAAGGCAACCGAACUAGGGGGGUAAGGGGUUACCGGUGAGAGGGAGAUCCCCACACUGGUACUGAGACACGGACCAGACUCCUACGGGAGGCAGCAGUGAGGAAUAUUGGACAAUAGGCGCGACGACCGUACGUACGUACC